rnacentral:rRNA from 1 species
UACGGAGGGGGGCUAGCGUUGUUCGGAAUUACUGGGCGUAAAGCGCACGUAGGUGGCUUUGUAAGUUAGAGGUGAAAGCCCGGGGCUCAACUCCGGAAUUGCCUUUAAGACUGCAUCGCUAGAAUUGUGGGAGAGGUAAGUGGAAUUCCGAGUGUAGAGGUGAAAUUCGUAGAUAUCGAGAGGAACACCGGUGGCGAAGGCGGCGAUCUGGACGAUGACUGACGCUGGAGACGCGAAAGCGUGGGGAG